rnacentral:tRNA from 1 species
GCGGGUGUGGCGGAAUUGGUAGACGCGCUAGACUUAGGAUCUAGUGCCGUAAGGCGUGGGGGUUCGAGUCCCUCCACCCGCA